CUAUAAUCAUCCAGGAGACUCAGGAAUGAAGCUUUUUUCUGCUCAACAGCAGGAUCCACAUGUGAAACUGGAAAUACUCUGUGUGGAGCCUCAAGGAGUCCAGUGGAUGAGACCAGGUCUAAGGAAAUAUUUCUGUGAUCUGACGCUGGAUCCAAACACAGCACACAGAAACCUCAAACUGUCUG